rnacentral:lncRNA from 1 species
UAGCCUCCACCACCAAUCUAUGAAACUCAUAGCAUGAGCCUCCGACUUUGAGAACAGUCUCAAGGACGCGCUAGCUCGUAGCGCAUUUCCGCUCUCUCAACAUUAAAGUCGAAGCCACCAGAUCUGAAGAUCUUGCCCCGCCGCUGCCGCCAUCACUGCAAUUCUCUAUCUAGUUGUAGAAGACGAUAUCAAAAACUCAAAAAUCUCUCCCU